GACGAACGCUGGCGGCGUGCCUAAUACAUGCAAGUAGAACGCUGAAGAGAGGAGCUUGCUCUUCUUGGAUGAGUUGCGAACGGGUGAGUAACGCGUAGGAAACCUGCCUUGUAGCGGGGGAUAACUAUUGGAAACGAUAGCUAAUACCGCAUAACAAUGGAUGACACAUGUCAUUUAUUUGAAAGGGGCAAUUGCUCCACUACAAGAUGGACCUGCGUUGUAUUAGCUAGUAGGUGAGGUAAUGGCUCACCUAGGCGACGAUACAUAGCCGACCUGAGAGGGUGAUCGGCCACACUGGGACUGAGACACGGCCCAGACUCCUACGGGAGGCAGCAGUAGGGAAUCUUCGGCAAUGGGGGCAACCCUGACCGAGCAACGCCGCGUGAGUGAAGAAGGUUUUCGGAUCGUAAAGCUCUGUUGUAAGUCAAGAACGGGUGUGAGAGUGGAAAGUUCACACUGUGACGGUAGCUUACCAGAAAGGGACGGCUAACUACGUG
rnacentral:rRNA from 1 species